rnacentral:rRNA from 1 species
AGAUUGAACUAAAGAGUUUGAUCCUGGCUCAGAUUGAACGCUGGCGGCAUGCCUUACACAUGCAAGUCGAACGGCAGCGCGGGAGCUUGCUCCUGGCGGCGAGUGGCGCACGGGUGAGUAAUGCAUCGGAACGUGUCUUCUUGUGGGGGAUAACUGUCCGAAAGGACAGCUAAUACCGCAUAAGACCUGAGGGUGAAAGCAGGGGAUCGCAAGACCUUGCGCAGGAAGAGCGGCCGAUGUCCGAUUAGCUAGUUGGCGGGGUAAAGGCCCACCAAGGCGACGAUCGGUAGCUGGUCUGAGAGGACGACCAGCCACACUGGGACUGAGACACGGCCCAGACUCCUACGGGAGGCAGCAGUGGGGAAUUUUGGACAAUGGGGGCAACCCUGAUCCAGCCAUGCCGCGUGCAGGAUGAAGGUCUUCGGAUUGUAAACUGCUUUUGUCAGGGACGAAAAGGGACG